GGUGAACGCUGGCGGCGUGCUUAAGACAUGCAAGUCGAACGCAGUCUUCGGACUGAGUGGCGCACGGGUGAGUAACACGUAACUGACCUACCCCCAAGUCGCGGAUAACUGGCCGAAAGGUCAGCUAAUACGUGAUGUGAUGUCCCCUUUCUGGGGGGCCAUUAAAGGUUUACUGCUUGGGGAUGGGGUUGCGUGCCAUCAGCUAGUUGGCGGGGUAAAGGCCCACCAAGGACACGACGGAUAGCCGGCCUGAGAGGGUGGCCGGCCACAGUGGCACGGUGACACGGGUCCCACUCCUGCGGGAGUCAGCAGGUAGGAAUCUUCCACAAGGGCGAAAGCCUGAGGGAGCGACGCCGCGUGAGGGAUGUAGGUUCUCGGAUCGUAAACCUCUGAAUCAGGGACGAAAGACGCGUAAGCGGGAUGACGGUACCUGAGUAAUAGCACCGGCUAACUCCGUGCCAGCCGCCGCAGUAA
rnacentral:rRNA from 1 species